CCCCUCUCUUUCUCGCCAUCCUUUUCCCCGUUGAGGCUUCACCGACUCGUACAUGCAUGUGUCAAAUGCGUGACAUCGACGAGAAGUGACGAGGAAGUCACGCAAGCAACACGAUUUAUUUAAUCGCGGCAAAUGUAUCUGCAAACAUGGAUAUUUGCGAUAGCGCAUAUAACUUAUGUUCAAUAUGUCGUCGCCAAACGCGGACUGUGCAAUGGCUACAAGUUUGGCGAGGACGAUCUUCAGACGUUCGACUUCAUCAGCAAACUGAAAUUGGAUCUGUUGGAUACGCGUUACAGUGGCAUGACGAAGGUCCGGGGCAGCAACCGCAUGCAAACUGCAUACCGGCUGGAGAAAGACACUGAUGUCACCCUCCCAAUAAAGAAUAUCACAUCCAGCGGACUUCCAGAAGAGUUCUCGUUGGUGUACACGCUAAGAGCUAGGAAAUCACCGAAGUAUCCUUGGCACGUUAUUAAAAUCGCGGACGCAAACGGCGAUGCUCAAUUCCUCAUCACGAUGAAUUCUAGGAAGCGAUCGUUAGAUUUUUCAUCGAUCGACCACGAGGGAGAAUUACAGACAGUCUCCUUUAUGAAUAAUCGCGUGUUCGACAGAGGAUGGCAUAAGGUGAACUUCGGGGUGUUUAAAGAUAAGCUGGUUCUUAACGUUGACUGUGAAUUCACUGGUAUGGAAGAUUUAAAACCGCGCCAGCCGAUCAAAGUCGACGGGAGUAUAUCGAUAGCUAAAAUGAGCAAUAGUAAGAUCACUGUACCGAUUGAUGUGCAAUGGAUGGUUCUAAAUUGCGAUCCAACGAGACACGAAAGAGAAACGUGCGAUGAAUUACCGAAAAUCGUAGCUGCUCCGCUUCAAAUAAAAUCCUGCGAUAUGGUCUGCCCACAAGGACCACGUGGAUUCAAUGGUACAAACGGAUUUCCUGGUCCACCUGGACCAUCUGGAGCACCGGGACCAAUUGGAACUACGGGUUUACCAGGACAACCGGGACCGCCGGGGGAACAAGGAAAGCCAGGAGUUCCAGGUGCAAGAGGUUUCCCAGGAUCACAAGGUCCGAAAGGAACUAUCGGAUUUCCGGGACCAUCAGGUUUACCAGGAUCACCAGGACAAAAGGGUGAAAGAGGUGAUAUGGGAUUCCCAGGUCUCAAAGGAGAUCAAGGUCCUCGAGGAUUUCCAGGCCCGUCAGGAAAUACGAGUGACUUUUUUCUUGGAUCGCUGAGAUAUAAGGGCGAGAAAGGAGCCAAAGGUGAACGGGGGGACAACGGGGUUCAAGGACAACCGGGUGAAAAAGGCGAACCUGGAGACAGAGGAUAUCCGGGAUUAGAUGGCUCCCGCGGUCGUGAUGGUGCACCAGGCCUUCCUGGUCUUCCGGGAUCUCCUGGUCGUCCUGGUGACACUGUAUUUACGAAUAUUUCUAGCAUUCCAAGGCCACAGGGUCUUCCUGGUAUAAGAGGGCCUCCAGGAUUACCUGGUCCACCAGGAUUGCCAGGACCUCCUGGUCAAAUGGGUCCGAAGGGCGAUGUCGGAGAACGCGGUCGAGAAGGCACGCCAGGCUUGACGAAUAAUAACAUCAUACCGGGAUUACCUGGCCCAGAAGGACCUGUCGGUCCUCCUGGCGAUGAUGGUUUACCAGGUGAAAAAGGAGAAAUCGGACCGACAGGUCUUCCUGGGCCACCUGGAGAUCCUGGAAAGGAUGGAUUACCAGGAUUACCAGGACCGCAGGGACUUCCAGGAUUACGCGGAGAACCGGGCUCUCCAGGCCCUCGAGGUUUAGAUGGACUUGCGGGAAAACCAGGACUUCCAGGACACGAUGGGAAAGUAGGCCAAAAGGGCAACAAAGGCGAAAAGGGCGAACAAGGGUCUAUCGGAUCUCGCGGACUACCUGGAAGUUCGGGUUUAACAGGUUCACCAGGUACACCAGGUAUACCAGGAUUAGAGGGAAGACCUGGUCUACCUGGUCCUCCAGGAUCGAUAGGGCCUCCAGGACCUCCAGGGCCUUCUGGUUUUUCAGCUGUAAACAAUAGUUUUAGUAGCACUGGUAGUCCUGGUCUCGAAGGACCUAGAGGUUCACCAGGUUCUCCAGGCAUACCAGGUGAAAAAGGAGCUCCUGGAGAACGAGGACCGGAAGGUCAAAUAGGACCGCCCGGAAUGCCUGGUAAAGACGGAGCGCCAGGAUUGCAAGGUCCUCCUGGAAAUAGAGGUCCAACAGGAUUACCCGGACUUCAAGGUCUGCCAGGUCAUAGUAUAGGCGAAGCGGAAAUUCGCGAUAUUUGCGCCAGUGUUCUGAGAGGUAAUUUUCAACUGCAAAUUAUUUUUUUAAACAUUAACGUUAAAGUUAAUCAAAAUUUAACUAAUUAUGCUUUAAUUAUCGACUUUCUCUGUUUUCGCAGUAGAGAUAGAAAUCAAACUAGUUUGAUUAAACUCCAGUUAACUUUGAUCAAGGUUUAGGCGACAGCUGCAUUUUCUUAUGAAAUGAUCGCAAGUGAAUUGAAAACGCGCGAUGUCGUCAAUUCUGGAAUAUACCCGAAUUGUGUGAUAACAGAUGACCGAAAUGGCAGCACUAAUGCAAGGUCCACCUGGUCUGCCCGGUCGGGGUCGUCCGGGCCGCCCUGGAUUACCUG
rnacentral:misc_RNA from 1 species